UACGUAGGGUGCAAGCGUUGUCCGGAAUUACUGGGCGUAAAGAGUUCGUAGGCGGUUUGUCGCGUCGUUUGUGAAAACCAGCAGCUCAACUGCUGGCUUGCAGGCGAUACGGGCAGACUUGAGUACUGCAGGGGAGACUGGAAUUCCUGGUGUAGCGGUGAAAUGCGCAGAUAUCAGGAGGAACACCGGUGGCGAAGGCGGGUCUCUGGGCAGUAACUGACGCUGAGGAACGAAAGCGUGGGUAG
rnacentral:rRNA from 1 species